rnacentral:rRNA from 1 species
GACGAACGCUGGCGGCGUGCCUAAUACAUGCAAGUUGAGCGCUGAAGGUUGGUACUUGUACCGACUGGAUGAGCAGCGAACGGGUGAGUAACGCGUGGGGAAUCUGCCUUUGAGCGGGGGACAACAUUUGGAAACGAAUGCUAAUACCGCAUAAAAACUUUAAACACAAGUUUUAAGUUUGAAAGAUGCAAUUGCAUCACUCAAAGAUGAUCCCGCGUUGUAUUAGCUAGUUGGUGAGGUAAAGGCUCACCAAGGCGAUGAUACAUAGCCGACCUGAGAGGGUGAUCGGCCACAUUGGGACUGAGACACGGCCCAAACUCCUACGGGAGGCAGCAGUAGGGAAUCUUCGGCAAUGGACGAAAGUCUGACCGAGCAACGCCGCGUGAGUGAAGAAGGUUGUCGGAUCGUAAAACUCUGUUGGUAGGGAAGAACGUUGGUGAGAGUGGAAAGCUCAUCAAGUGACGGUAACUACCCAGAAAGGGACGGCUAACUACGUG